rnacentral:lncRNA from 1 species
UUCACGUAGCCUUGAUUCGCAACCGUUGUGACAAUCUCUGAAAAUUACUCCUCCAACGUUUGCUCUUGAAUCCUUCAAAUCGCUCUUGAAUUAAUGUCUUUUGUGUUGUAUAAUUGUUAUUCUUCUACGUAAUAGCAAGCUCUGCUUCUCUUCUGGCCGAAACAGAAGAAGCUGAAACAGAACAGGACACCCAGAAAUCGGGACCCACGCCCCGGCGGGGGGUGUAGGCUUAAACAGGCCCGCCUCGGCGGGGGGGUGCUACUGUCUUCAAGUUAUUCUUUCCUCAACUUAUUUCCACUUUUGCUCCAAAAAGACCUCCUUUCCUCACCAAUAGCAUCCAUGAUCACCCUACACAUAAAAUAACAUGAAACGAGUAAAAACGAACACAAAACAUGAAGAUAACUACGAAUUUAAACUUGAAAUGAAUAUCGAUACAUGUAUAUAAAAUCCACUUAUCAAAAUCCCCCAAACUUAAACCGUGCUAGUCCUCGAGCACAAAACAAACUACAUGCUAUACAAUGUAAUGAAAUGCAAUAACAAUCUAAAUGCCUAAAAAUCCAACAAUAUCGCAUAAACUAACUUAUCCCAUCGGCCUCAGAGAAAACAAGCAACUUUACAAUACAAAUUAUCAAAACCAAUCCACACUUAGAUAUUAAUUCUCAAUUCUUGAACAAUUAUCACUGGUAUAACGUGCGUGUGUGAUUAACAUCUAAGAUAACUGUUACGGACCCAAAUUCAAUACAUAAACAACUUCUUAGAAGGAAUCAUACAGUGCAAAUUUAAAAAUCUCAAAGAUAGGCACGACUCAACUAAAAUUAAACUCAACCAAAUUCAAGGGUACAUACAGGAUACUUAUACUUUCUUUUCUUCUCUUUUUUUUACACGGGGGCUUUUUUGCUCUUUUCCCGUGAUUAUUUCCCUUUUUCUUUUGAUAGAUGGUUAGUGAGUGCGUUUUAUGCUCCAUCUCAUGCUUGUGUUUAUGGGGAGUGUUUCUCCUUAACCCACCACAAGACUCAACAUGUUUCAUUCUUUCUCUUUUUUUUUCCUUUUUUUCUCUUUUUUAAAGCUUAUAUAUCCCACAUAUAUUCCCCCAAACUUAGGUUUUUGCCUAAGUUAAGCCUUCACUGCCUAUCCUUGUAAUUUUCUGGUUCACCCUCGCAUUAUCCUCUAGAAACUUUUUAUGUGUCAAUUUGAACUGACCAGUCAACAAAGAUGUUAUUAGUGCUACCCUUUUUAUAACAGUUUCAAACAAGUCCAAGAAUCGAUUUAUAACAGAAAUUAUAUCACAGUUCUAAUAAUCCAUACUAUAUUGGUUAACUUGUUCACAGUCUCAUCAUUGGCCCACAAAUAACAUGAAAAAUGCGACACCGUUAGACAUAUGCAAACACACUAUUUAACUAAUUUUUUUUAUAUUUAUAUUUAUAUUUUUUAUUUUUUUUAGAUAUAUAAAAACAAUGCAAAAUCCUAACUACUAUGCAAAUAUCUAUUCUAUAAUGCAAAACAAGAUAUGACAACAAAAAUUUAAAAAUGCAUGCAUGCAACUAAACAAAUAACUCCCCCAAACUUAAAUAAGACAAUGCCCUCAUUGGAUAACAAUAAAGCGCAAUAGGACUUCCCUGGAAUCGUCUAAGUUUGGGGCGAUGGUUGGUGCUCUUCUUCAUCGGAAUCACUAGGAGGAAAUCGAGGUAAUGGACCGGGUUGUUGAUAUAGAAAUUGAGCCGCCGGGUUGAAACUUUGGAGUGUUGUGUUGAAUGAGGCGAAAGAUGCGUUCAUGGCAUCAAACAUGUG